rnacentral:rRNA from 1 species
UGGAAACUNUCUGACUUGAGUGCAGAAGGGGAGAGUGGAAUUCCAUGUGUAGCGGUGAAAUGCGUAGAUAUAUGGAGGAACACCAGUGGCGAAAGCGGCUCUCUGGUCUGUCACUGACGCUGAGGCUCGAAAGCGUGGGUAGCGAACAGGAUUAGAUACCCUGGUAGUCCACGCCGUAAACGAUGAGUGCUAGGUGUUAGGCCCUUUCCGGGGCUUAGUGCCGGAGCUAACGCAAUAAGCACUCCGCCUGGGGAGUACGACCGCAAGGUUGAAACUCAAAGGAAUUGACGGGGGCCCGCACAAGCGGUGGAGCAUGUGGUUUAAUUCGAAGCAACGCGAAGAACCUUACCAGGUCUUGACAUCCCGAUGCUAUUCUUAGAGAUAGGAAGUUACUUCGGUACAUCGGAGACAGGUGGUGCAUGGUUGUCGUCAGCUCGUGUCGUGAGAUGUUGGGUUAAGUCCCGCAACGAGCGCAACCCUUGUUGUUAGUUGCCAUCAUUAAGUUGGGCACUCUAGCGAGACUGCCGGUAAUAAACCGGAGGAAGGUGGGGAUGACGUCAAAUCAUCAUGCCCCUUAUGACCUGGGCUACACAUGUGCUACAAUGGUCGGUACAACGAGUUGCGAGCCGGUGACGGCAAGCUAAUCUCUGAAAGCCGAUCUCAGUUCGGAUUGGAGGCUGCAACUCGCCUCCAUGAAGUCGGAAUCGCUAGUAAUCGCGGAUCAGCACGCCGCGGUGAAUACGUUCCCGGGCCUUGUACACACCGCCCGUCACACCACGAGAGUUUGUAACACCCGAAGUCGGUGAGGUAACCUUUUAGGGGC